rnacentral:lncRNA from 1 species
CUACCUCAAACAAUUUUCUUGCUUCACGCGCAGCGCAGGUGAUACCGCCACUAACGUAUUUUAAAACGAUAAGAUAGGCGAAUCACCUGUUAUUAUUGUCCGAUCGCCCAAAGCUCAAACCCCCCCAAUUCUAUCAAUAAUUCAACAGGUACUUUUUCUUUUCCUGAUGGACAUAAUUUUCUGCUUUUCUCAAUAAGAAUUAAUUUGCUUGCUCAAAUUCUUAAAUUUUUGCUUUAAACAGCAAUAAUAUCUGUUUCAGCAGUUGAAUUUUAAUUGCGUUUAUUACAGAGAUUACGAGAUUUGGUUUUUUUUUUUUUAAUUAAUACCAAACAAUCCCAGAGAAAGAAGUAUAUUUUACUUUUAUGAUACUCAGCUGUAGUACUACAGCGCUGUAUGACCAAAUCUGCGCUUGUUGGUGGUAUCUUCUCAAGAAAUUGUUAAAUCCCAUUGGUUGUAGCACUUAGUAACUUAGUUGUUUAUAUCUUGUAAAUUGAAUUGUUUUCAUAGUUAUGGGGAAUUUGCUAUUUUGCAUUAACUUCAACUCCUAAAGUUAAAGUGAUCAUAAUUAUAGGAUGCCUGGAGAACCUCAGAGUUCAGGCAUUAAUGAGACCAGUAAACAGUUCAAAUUACUGUCAUAAAACGAACAAUUGCAUUAUUUGAUAACACAACCAUUUUAACUAAAAGAUGAAACUACAAUGUAGGAAAUCAUAAUAUUACAAUACUAGCAUUAAAAAUAAAAUAAAAUAAAAUCAACAUAAAUAGGGAAUUAAAUAAACAAGGUUACAUAUAUUUAUGCCCCGUUUGUUUCCUAUUCUUUGGCCAAAAAAAUAAAAAAUAUGAUCGUUAUUCAUCACAUCAAACUACCAUAUUUGAUUUCUUCUUUCUUGUGUGGGUCCUGUAACAACUAUAUUUUUCAUUUUCAUUCUCAUUCUUAUAAGAAUGGAAAUCAAACGGGAGCCUAGUGUAAGUUGUUUUUCGUACAACCCAAUAACCUUUAGAUUUUAUCAAAUUCUUGGAUGAAAAAGAUGAAAAAGAAUAAAGAUAUCGAAAAACACACUUCAGACGAUACUUAUUCAGCAAGAGGUGAGUGUAUUUGAUAGUUUUAGAGAAAGAUCCCAACUAAUAUUUGUUAUCAAGUUUCUUACACUGAAGAGUGAAGUAUAGAGAGAUAGAAUUCCAGCUACAAAUAAUUCUUUGUUGUCAAGGCUAAAAGACAUUAUAAAGAAUAAGAAUGAAGAUACUAUGGUUAGAAUUGAAGAAGAUUGAUGAAAUUAAAGGAGAGAACGAAUAACGAGCCUCAGCCAUAACAAAGUAGAGGCAAAAAGGAGUGUGAGGAGAGGAAAAUAGUUGUAGAAUGAUUAGAAUAAGUAGCAUUAGUCAUUUUGGUUUAGACCAAAAACAAGUCCCUAAAUAAGAUUGGAGUUGAAGUAUUUAUAGAGGAGUCUUAAGACGCUAUGUUACACUCCCAAUUUUUACUAGUCAAAGGUUAAUAUUAUUUAUUCAAAUUCAAAGGUUCGACUAGUCAAAGUCAAGUUAACUAGGGACUUUAAUGGAAUAAAUUAUUUUAUUGGGCUUUAUUUAAUAAUUGACAUUACUUAAGGGUUUUUUUUUAAUUUUUUAAUUUUUUUUUAAAAUUUUUAUGGCCAUCAUUAAUCUUGGAGAUUUAGUUUAUAAAUAUGGAAAGAUUAAUGACUAGAUUUUAUGCAAAACAUAAAAAAAGGGACUUAAAUAGCAAAUAUGGGAGUUAGUGGAGGUCAAGUGUCAUUUUAGAGGCCAUUUCUUCAUUUUCUUACAUUUCAUAUCCACUUAUAUUGAAGCUGAAAACUGGGGGACAGUGACUAAGGCGAAAACUGGCAAAAAGAAAGAGAAAAAGAGAAGGAAAAAAAAAAAAAGGAAGAAAGGAAAAGGAAAAAAUGAGGGAAGAAAAACUUGAGUUCCAUUGUUCAAUUUCUUCAUUUCUUAAAGAGGUAAAGAAGUAAAUGUUUUGUAAUAUAAUGUAUAUGAAAUUUUCUAGGGUUCUAAAUGGUUGGUUUAAUUUUAGAUUUAAGGAAAGAGUAUGGUUUGAAGCCGAUAUUUUUGAUUUGUGAAAGAUUUUGGUAUCAAGAUAAGUUAUUCCAUUUUUGGAAAACCCUAGAAUUUUUAAAUAGGUUCUUGAGUAAAGAUAGUUUGGGGAAAUUAUAGUGAUGAUGAAAUGUUUACUUGAAAGUAUGAUUUUGUGGAAUAAGGUGUAAAAUUAAAUUGGUUAAAUUAUGAUUAUUAGUUUUACUAGUUUGAAAGAAGGAAUUAUUUUUAUGUUUGGAGUGAAGAUUAUUGUGAUGAAUUAGCUAUUAAGAAAUGGACUAGAAAGUGGAAUUAGUUUGAAGUGAUUAGAGGAAAUUGGGAAAAAUUAUUCUAGUAUCGAGAAGUCGAGUUUUAGUAUUCGAUUACUAAUAUUAGGAGAUACUUAGUAUGAGAGUUGUUAAAUUAGUUACUUUAUAUCGUAUUUUAGGUGGUGACGUGAAAGUUGGGCAAGGUUGGUAAAUUUAACCAGAUUGCAAUCCAUAGAUCUGUGAGUGGAGAACCUACUUUUCCAAAAAGAAGAUUUUCUUUUUAUUUUAUAGAAGCAUAUUAAUUACGUGAUAUGUCUUAUUUUCGAGAAAUUAGUAAAUGAGCAUGAUUAUUUUGAAAUCAUAAGAAAAUAACUAAUUUAAUUACCUUAAUACACUGAGGGGCUACAAUUGUGUGUAAAUGUAACUCUUAUCCACUGAGGGGGCUACGGCCAUGUGUAAGGGUAUCUAUUAUAUACUCAGGGGCUAAGGCCGUAUAUAGAGUGUUGAUCAGAUGGUUUAUGUGCAUAGAACUUAAUAGCUUUCAUAUCAUCAGUAGAUAUUUACAUGAGGUAUAUUUUAAUGUGAAUUUUAUGUAUAUACUGAAUUAUUAGCCUUCAGCUUACAUUUCCCCGUUUACUGUUCAGCUUAUGGAAUUCAGAUUAUAUAAUUCAAUUUGUUCAGUUUUCAGAGUAAAGCUUCCAGUUUAUAAUAUUGAGCAACAACGAUAUUUCACAGAUUUUCAUAGAUGUUAGAUUAUUUAUAUUCAUUAUAUUUUACCGUUAUUGAACUAGAAUGAAGAAUAAAGAGUUUUAUGAUCCAAUUAUGUCAGUUUUAAAAGUUUUAAAAGUGUUACUAGGUUUCUAAAUGUCUCAAAGUUUUAAUAAAGCAAGAAUUAUGCAUAUAUGACUAAGUAUACUUAUUUAUAAUUUAUCUACUCACUAAGUUACAAACUCAUAUUUUGUUACCCUUUUCUUAGCAGAUAUGUUGAGCAGCCUUGGAGCCUGUCGAUCAACCGAAAGUGCCACACACACACAUUGUCAUUAGAUGUAUGACUCAUUUCGUCAAUUUAUAUAGUUCAAAUUUCGUUUAGGAUACAUGUAUGUUUUGACAGAAACGUUAAUUGGUAAUUUAUAGAUCCAUAUCAUGGGCUCACUACAAAUUUAGUAUUCUCAUUUCUUUUGGGGUCUUUUGUUUAUAAAUCAUGAUAAAUGUCUUGAAUAGUUUGUAUUUUGAAGGACUAGCAUGUUAUAUUUUAAAUUAUAUAUACAGUUUUGAUAAAGUUGAUAUUUGUUCAGAUGAUUUAGUCCAUAUUUUAAAAGAAAUUUUGUCAAAAUUUUUAUACAAAUAUGUCAUAGUUAAAGUAGGUCAAGUUUGUCUUGGUGGUGGGUCCAGCACUUAGCUGGUAUCUAUUAUUGGUGCACGACAUGUGUCGGGUCUAUUAGAGGGAUUCGGGACGAGUCGUGUCACGUUAAGCCUGAAUUUUAAACUUUUCAUGCUAGCAUCCUAUAUGACCCAAAAGAAAGAGUGGUGAAUAACAAGUUAACAAUUAAAACCCUGAAACUUUUUUAUUGUAACUAUAUAAAAUGGUAAUGAGAUUAGAUUUUGGGAUGAUUGUUAGCGUGAAGAUCAACAGUUGAAGGAGAGAUUUCCUUCCUUGUGCCGCAUUGCCUCAGUACCCUCUGCUAUGGUGAGUGAUCUAUUAGUCAUUCAUAAUGGGAGCUAUAACUGGAAUAUUACUUUUGGGAGGGGUCUACAGGAUUGGGAAUUGGAUAAUUAUUCGUUAUUUAUGACCUUUCUACAUGAGGCACAAAUUCGGGGUAGGAAAGAGUGAUUGUAUCAGGUGGAGGAUAGCAUGGGAUGACAUUUUUUUAGUUCGCUCUUACUUUGGUUCCUUUAUGGGAUAUGUGGAUAAUUCAUUCCUCUGGAAGUUGGUGUGGCAAUGUAAAUUGCUUUUUUGGGUGGCAUUCUUAUUGUGGACAGUUGUGAGGAAACAGAUCUCAACGGUGGAUAAUCUUCGACGUAAGGGCUUCUACGUAACCGAGUAGUGUUAUAUGUGCAAGAAGGAUGGGGAAAUGAUAGAUCAUUUGUUCAUUCAUUGUGAUAGUGUUUGUUGGAUUUGGAACAGUAUAUUCGGUUCUUAAUCUAUGGAUUGGGUGAUGCCUCGUCGUAUAGAGGACGUGAUACGAGCAUGACGAAGAAAAUUUCGUGAUAAGAAUAGCAAACUAGCAUGACAUCUUAUUCCAAGUUGCAUUGUAUACACUAGUGGAUCCAGCACCGCGAUCGU